rfam:Zootermopsis nevadensis contig34069, whole genome shotgun sequence.
GCCACGGUGGUCUAGCGGUUAGAACGCUGGCCAUGUAAUCCUGGGGUCUCGGGUUCGAUUCCCGGCGGUGCCC